rnacentral:misc_RNA from 1 species
GAUGAAGAACGCAGUGAAAUGCGAUAAGUAAUGUGAAUUGCAGAAUUCAGUGAAUCAUCGAAUCUUUGAACGCACAUUGCGCCCGUCAGUAUUCUGGCGGGCAUGCCUGUUCGAGCGUCAUUACGCCCCUCAAGUCCCCUGUGGACUUGGUGUUGGGGAUCGGCGAGGCUGGUUUUCCAGCACAGCCGUCCCUUAAAUUAAUUGGCGGUCUCGCCGUGGCCCUCCUCUGCGCAGUAGUAAAACACUCGCAACAGGAGUCCGGCGCGGUCCACUGCCGUAAAACCCCCCAACUUUUUAUAGUUGACCUCGAAUCAGGUAGGACUACCCGCUGAACUUAAGCAUAUCAAUAAGCGGAGGA